CCCGCUUCGCUCCAAGUUACUUUGGCAGCCUUUGGGGGGGCGGGGGGCGGCAAUUGCAGGAGGGGAGCUCCGUGCGGAUUGCGCGGGGGCGGAGGGGGGGCUUCGCGCCUUUGGUCCCAGGCAGUCGGAGGACCCCCCGUUUCCCCCGCCUCCUCGGUGCUUUCGAGCCGGGUGAGCCCUGGAAAUCUCGGAGGAGUCCCAGGCGCGGUGGGCGCGGGGCGGUACGCCGAGAAGGGCGGGAUCUGGAGUCACGGAGCGGCCAGCCCCACCGGCGUCCUGGAGCUGGGGGAGCGGCCGCGGAGCUCUGGAGGAGACGUUUUGCUUCGCAAACCUCCAAGAAAAGUUUGGCUCCCCCGUGUCUUCGGGCGGGUCCCCCACCCCUCCUCCGGCGGAGUCCGUCUGCGGCGGCGGUGGGAGGCGACACCCGGCCGCGGGCUGAGUCCCGGGGACCCCUCGCGCGUGCCUUCUUCGGCCGGGAGCGGGUGCACCGGGGCGCGCGGAGAGCAGAGGUUACGCACCAGCCAGCCGGGCGGAGCUGGGAUGCCGAGACCCGCGGGGCUAUGCCAACCCAGCUGUGAGGCUCGGGGGCGGGAGGGCAAACGACCCCUCGCAGAUGAACCCCUCCAACUCCCGAACGGGCCGAUGUCAAGUCUCCGAUCGCCUUCCGGGAGCCAGACCGAGCCCCCCAGCUGCGGGGCCGAGAGCGCUGGGGGGAGCUCUCAGAAGUGUCCCUGCGACUCCGACCGGUUCCACCCCAAGCCCGGCAACUUGUAGAGAUGCAUCAAUCAGUUGGAAACGCCAAAGGAGGAGGGGAAAAAAAAAAAAAAAAAGAAAGAAAAGAGAGAGAGAGAGCGCACGAGCGCGUGGCACCUCCCCGAUGACUACAUCAGAAAAACCUUCCAGUUCCUCCAGCAGCGGCUCCUCUUUCCCUCCUCGGGCGCAGCAGCAGCGAGGGUGUGAAAACCACCAAGAGAAUCCCCAGACCUUCUCCAGGCGGGAAAAUAAACUUGAGUGCAGCAGCGGCAGCACGAGCAGCCCGGGAGGGAUUGCAACGACUGGCGAGGAGUGGGAAGGGGCAAAAAAAAAAGAAAAGCUCCAUACUUAGAAGAAAUGUCCAAGCAAACCAUCAAAGCAAGAACAUUGAUACUUCCAAGAACUGAAUUUCAUGAUACUAUCAAAAUGCAGUGACACUUUAAAAAUAAUUUUCACGU
ensembl:lncRNA